rnacentral:lncRNA from 1 species
AUGCUACUUCAGUCUCAAACAACUCUCCGGGGAGCUGCAACAUGUCCUGAGAGCCAUUUGCGGGGGCAGAGUUGCCUCAUCCUGGAUGGAGACCUCAACCUGUGGUUAUUGGCAGAAUUGGAUGCCAUCAUAAGGAGCCUGGAAACCCCAGGUUUAGUCUCUUGUGGAAGAUAUUCAAAUCAGAUCAUCGUCCUCAGUUUUGCUCCCGCGCUACGUCUGGCUUUACUGUAGUCCAUUUCCUGAUACUUCUGACAGAACAAGCAACAGUUGGCAUGUAUUCAGGCUUCUCUCUCUGCUUCCACCUGCGUUAUUUAGAGUAAAGCUUUAGAAAAUUAAAAAAGAGACUCCAGAAUGAGUUGCUGCCUUUUUUUAGAGAAUGAAC